CACUGGCUGAAAUGCAAGUGGCUGCUCUACAUUGUAGGUGCGUCCCCGUCGCGAGAGCAUCCAGCAGGGCGCUCUCGAAAAGAAAACAUCCAAGGAACACCGACAUGUGAAGGUUUAAUAUCCAAGCUGUUCCCAGAAAGAAGACUCGACAGCUCGGUGUCCUUAUUUGAAAAGUAGGAAUAGCGAAGGCCUGUCUGCCAAGAGCUCACAAAAUACAGAACACAUAAGUGUAUAGUGUAUCUUCUCUCAAAAACAUCCAACACGGCCACUUCUUCCUCCAGCAUCGGAGUGGAUUACUGGUCUUCUGGAUUCUGCAGGCUUUGUCAAGAGUCCGCCCAUGCCCAACAGAUUUGGUAAUCCAGGCAUUCCUGACAGCAGCAUGGGGAACAUGGCGGCCACGUUUUUAGCUUCUCCUCCAGAAGAAAGGCCGGCAGGCAUUCCC